rnacentral:rRNA from 1 species
GACGAACGCUGGCGGCGUGCUUAACACAUGCAAGUCGAACGGAAAGGCCCUGCUUUUGUGGGGUGCUCGAGUGGCGAACGGGUGAGUAACACGUGAGUAACCUGCCCUUGACUUUGGGAUAACUUCAGGAAACUGGGGCUAAUACCGGAUAGGAGCUCCUGCUGCAUGGUGGGGGUUGGAAAGUUGCGGCGGUUGGGGAUGGACUCGCGGCUUAUCAGCUUGUUGGUGGGGUAGUGGCUUACCAAGGCUUUGACGGGUAGCCGGCCUGAGAGGGUGACCGGCCACAUUGGGACGGAGAUACGGCCCAGACGCCUACGGGAGGCAGCAGUGGGGAAUAUUGCACAAUGGGCGGAAGCCGGAUGCAGGAACGCCGCGUGCGGGAUGACGGCCGUCGGGGGGUAAACCGCUUUCGCCUGUGACGAAGCGUGAGUGACGGUAAUGGGUAAAGAAGCACCGGCUAACUACGUG